UCGGGUCGUUGUGAUUGGUCGGGGCGGCCGCGUCCUCUCUAAAGAGAACUCCUAACGACACGGAGGCGAGACGGUGCCAGAAGAAGGGGAAGGUCCAACAGCCGGACGCGGCCACUACGGGUGUUACAUCGAUACGCAGCACCUUUCCAGACUCUUCCUUUGGAACAGCCGGUGCAUUCCUUCCAGAUCGGUGACCAGGUCCUUGUUAAAAAGUGGAAACGUGAUCCACUCACACCGAGGUGGGACGGUCCGCAUACUGUAUCGCUCAUCAGCCAGGCCGCUGUUAAGGUUCUUGGGAGCGACAAAUGGACACAUCAUUCCCGAGUAAAGCGGUUCCUGAGCCCGGAUUCAGAGGAUAGCCUAACUGAAGAGGACAUCAGCCCUCUGUCCUCUCCGGCUCCGGAAGCCCGGAGAGACACAGGCGAAGACUCUACCUGGGAAUACCAAGGAUUGGAAGGACUAAAAGGACUGUUUAAAAGACAGAAACAAUGAAACCAUCCUUUGUA